rnacentral:rRNA from 1 species
AACGUAGGAGACGAGCGUUAUCCGGAUUUACUGGGCGUAAAGAGCGUGUAGGAGGCAGUACAAGUUGGAUGUGAAAGCUCCCGGCUUAACUGGGAGAGGUCGUUCAAAACUGUGCAGCUAGAGGAAGGCAGAGGUAGACGGAACUCCGGGAGUAGUGGUGAAAUGCGUAGAUAUCCGGAAGAACACCAGAGGCGAAGGCGGUCUACUGGGCCUUAACUGACACUGAGACGCGAAAGCCAGGGUAGCAAACGGGAUUAGAGACC